rnacentral:rRNA from 1 species
CCUUCGGGUACGAAUUGAGACAGGUGGUGCAUGGUUGUCGUCAGCUCGUGUCGUGAGAUGUGGGUUAAGUCCCGCAACGAGCGCAACCCUUGUGUUUAGUUGCAAACAGGUCAAGCUGUGCACUCUAGACAGACUGCCGUGGACAACACGGAGGAAGGUGGGGAUGACGUCAAAUCAUCAUGCCCCUUAUGAUCUGGGCUACACACGUGCUACAAUGGCCGGUACAACGGGCAGCGAAGGAGCGAUCCGGAGCGAAUCCUAAAAAGCCGGUCCCAGUUCGGAUUGCAGGCUAAAACUCGCCUACAUGAAGUUGGAGUUGCUAGUAAUCGCGAAUCAGAAUGUCGCGGUGAAUGCGUUCCCGGGUCUU